rnacentral:rRNA from 1 species
GACGAACGCUGGCGGCGUGCCUAAUACAUGCAAGUCGAACGCAGUGGGGACGGGUGAGUAACACGUGGGUAACCUCCCAUCAGAGGGGAUAACCCUUGGAAACCGGUGCUAAACCGAUACUGAUGGAUGGACCCGCGGUGCAUUAGCUAGUUGGUGGGGUAACGGCUCACCAAGGCCACGAUGCAUAGCCGUACUGAGAGGGUGAUCGGCCACACUGGGACUGAGACACGGCCCAGACUCCUACGGGAGGCAGCAGUGGGGAAUAUUGGGCAAUGGACGCAAGUCUGAUGGAGCAACGCCGCGUGAGUGAAGAAGGUUUUCGGAUCGUAAAACACUGUUGUCAGAGAAGCGGUAUCUAACCAGGAAGCAACGGCUAACUCCGUGCCAGCAGCCGCGGUAAUUC